AGCUAUCGCUAGGGGAAUGAGGCUGCAGACAUGGCAGCCAAGAGAAAGGCAGGAUAUAGUCCACAGUAUAUCAUGCUACAAACAGAGAAAACAGUACAUGAUCUCCUGCCACCGUGUAAUGUAAAUAUGUUAAUAGCAGAGCAGCAGAAAGCUUCUCCACAGGAGCUUACAAUCUGGAAAGAGAGAGGAGCAGUGAGAACAGAGGGUGUGUGGAGGUCUCCGGACGGAAGACCAGUGUUACCCCCAGGGCUGAUGAGAUCAGUCCUCCAGGAGGCUCACGGGGUGGCUCAUUGUGGAAAGGUGCAAAUGGUGCGAGGUCUCACUCAUUGGUGGCACCCUUUUCUGCCAGCCAUGAUUGAGAAUCACAUCAGAGAAUGUAAAAUAUGUACAGAAUAUAAUGUCAGACCCACAGUGAAACCACACCAAGGGAAAUUUCCUCUCCCCAAACUCCCAGGUCAAGAGGUCAUUAUUGACUACACAGAUAUGAUAGAGAGAGUGGGAGGGCACAGGUAUCUUCUGGUGGCGGUGGAUGCAUACACCGGCUGGCCAGAAGCCAUACCUGCCAAAUCAGAGGAUGCAAAAACAGUAAUCAAAUUUCUGAUAAAUCAAUAUAUCCCCAGGCACGGGUUCCCCAAACGAAUCAGAUCUGAUAACGGAACUCACUUUAAAAACAAAGACCUACAGCAGGUAGAGAAGGCAUUGGGGCUAAAACACACAUUUGGCACAGUCUAUCAUCCUCAGUCACAGGGCAAGGUGGAAAGGAUGAACCAGUCUAUUAAGGGAAAAAUAGGCAAAAUCUGUGCUCAGACUAAAAUGAGCUGGGUAGAUGCUCUACCCCUAGCUCUAAUGUCAAUCAGGAGCUCGGUGAACGCAUUGACAGGGUUCACGCCAUAUGAACUAAAACAGGACACCAGUUCCCGGGACCGGGAGCUGGGAUCCAAACUACAGAAGAAAUAGAAAGCCCUAUGCAAUACAAACCAUAUUAUGACCAACUAACAGCAUUGGUGUCAGCUUUCUCCAAACAGGUGACCACAGCUCGGGAGGGAGCAGAAGGGAAAGACCCCCCAACAUCAGAGUGGGUCCUACUCAAGGUGAUCAAACGAAAGUGGUCAGAGCCUAGGUGGACUGGUCCCUACAAAGUCGUGGAACGGACGUCCCACGCCGUCAAACUACAGGAAAAGGUGACACAUGGUAUCACUGGAGUCAGUGUGCAGUGGCAGAGACACCUGCCCGAACACUGGAGGACAUAAGAGACACUAAAGCUUAAAAAAAAAAACACACGCACAGCUUACUCACACCGACAUUUAUUCAUUUAGCUUAGCAUAAGUGCGGAAGAGAUAUCCUGUGAUCAAUGUGAAGGUUUGAAGCUCCUCUGAAGCAACACUUUGCCCAGAGUACGUUUGAGUAAUAUAAAGCCAGGAUACAAGAAAGACUCGCUUGCAGAACAUUUACACUCCAUAUUUACUCUUAUAUUUUACACGUUUAUAUUUACCUUUUUGCAAAAAAAAAAAAAAAAAAAUGAAAUUAUUAGUAGAAUUAUUAGGAUUAGAACCACGCCACCAUAAGUGGUUUGUGUUGGGAGUUGUUGUGUUAACCUGUGUUAUUGUUUUACCUCUGUUGUAUUAUGAGUCUUCCUCAGAGACAAAGCCGUAGAACCACCACGAAACCGAACCAGGAGAGACACCCCAGGGAGUGGAACGUCAGACUCCUGCAUAGAACCUCUCCACCGGGGUAGUAACUGAUAUGGGACAGAUGCAAGCUGACUGGUGCCAGAGAACAUUGAAUGUGAGUACGUGGCAGAACGCCAGCAGCAUGGUUCAGGCUAGAGGGGACCUGUUCUGGUACUGUGGAGAUAAAACCCUCCACUUGUCCCUGCCAUCCUCCUGGGUUGGUACGUGUGCACUGGUCCGACUGGCUGUACCCCUGAUCUUGUUGGGGAUGAGGGAUACCCAGACCAACUCAGGUAGACAGAAAAGAAAUGCAUUUGAUAUGAGCCAGGGAACAACCACGUAUAUGGAUGCCAUAGGUGUUCCUCGCGGGGUCCCAGACCAGUACAAAUUGGCUGACCAAGUGGCUGCUGGUUUUGAAAACAUACCCAUAUUAGCUGCACUGUUUCCCAUCACCCCUAACAAAAAUGUGGACAGAAUUAAUUAUGUGCAUUACAAUGUUCUUAGACUGGCCAACAGCACUGGGGACGCAGUUGGAGGACUCUCUGAACAACUGGCAGCUACCUCCCUGAUGACAGUACAGAACCGAAUUGCGUUAGACAUGCUUUUGGCGGAGAAAGGGGGUGUCUGCUCUAUGUUCCAGGGCCUCUGCUGCACCUUCAUCCCAAACAACACAGCUCCAGACGGGUCAGUAACUAAGGCGCUAGAAGGGCUGCACGCUCUCUGAGGAAAUGCAUGAACACUCAGGCAUUGAUAAACCCCUGGGUGGUAUCUUCGAGAAGUGGUUCGGUAAGUGGAAAGAUUUAGUGGUAUCGGUAUUCUUGUCUCUGGUGGGAAUGCUCGCGGUGUUAGCAUUAUGUGGUUGUUGUUGUAUCCCAUGUAUCCGGUCCCUCUGUGAAAGAAUCAUAGUGACAGCUGUGGAGAGAAAACAUCCACAGCCCCCACC